UACGUAGGGUGCGAGCGUUAAUCGGAAUUACUGGGCGUAAAGCGUGCGCAGGCGGUUAUAUAAGACAGUUGUGAAAUCCCCGGGCUCAACCUGGGAAUUGCAUCUGUGACUGUAUAGCUAGAGUACGGUAGAGGGGGAUGGAAUUCCGCGUGUAGCAGUGAAAUGCGUAGAUAUGCGGAGGAACACCGAUGGCGAAGGCACUUUACUGGGCCAGUACUAACACUCAGAGACGAAAGCUAGGGGAGCAAACAGG
rnacentral:rRNA from 1 species